rnacentral:rRNA from 1 species
UAAUACGGAGGGAGCUAGCGUUGUUCGGAAUCACUGGGCGUAAAGCGUGCGUAGGCGGUGACUCAAGUCAGAGGUGAAAGCCUGGAGCUCAACUCCAGAACUGCCUUUGAAACUAGGUCGCUAGAACAUCGGAGAGGUGAGUGGAAUUCCGAGUGUAGAGGUGAAAUUCGUAGAUAUUCGGAAGAACACCAGUGGCGAAGGCGGCUCACUGGACGAUUGUUGACGCUGAGGCACGAAAGCGUGGGGAGCAAACAGG